UGCACAGUUGUUCUGCGGCUAAACACCAC
rnacentral:piRNA from 1 species